CAGUCGCCGCGGUAAUACGAAGGGGGCUAGCGUUGCUCGGAAUUACUGGGCGUAAAGGGCGCGUAGGCGGCCAUUCAAGUUAGAUGUGAAAGCCCUGGGCUCAACCUAGGAAUUGCAUUUGAUACUGUUUGGCUUGAGUUCGGGAGAGGUGAGUGGAAUUCCCAGUGUAGAGGUGAAAUUCGUAGAUAUUGGGAAGAACACCAGUGGCGAAGGCGGCUCACUGGACCGACACUGACGCUGAGGCGCGAAAGCGUGGGGAGCAAACAGGAUUAGAUACCCCGGUAGUCCCUGUCUCUUAUAC
rnacentral:rRNA from 1 species